UACAGAGACUGCAAGCGUAUUCGGAUUCACUGGGCGUAAAGGGUGCGCAGGCGCCAAGUGUGUGAGGCGUGAAAGCCUGGAGCUUAACUCCAGAAUUGCACCUCAAACUACAUGGCUAGAGACAUGGAGAGGGUAGAGGAAUCACGGUGUAGCAGUGAAAUGCGUAGAUAUCGGGAGGAACACCGGUGGCGAAGGCGGCCUUCUGGUCGGAUACUGACGCUAAAACGCGAAAGCGUGGGGAGCAAACAGG
rnacentral:rRNA from 1 species